UAGGGAAUCUCCCACAAUGGACGCAAGUCUGAUGGAGCAACGCCGCGUGAGUGAAGAAGGUCUUCGGAUCGUAAAGCUCUGUUGUUGGUGAAGAAGGAUAGAGGCAGUAACUGGUCUUUAUUUGACGGUAAUCAACCAGAAAGUCACGGCUAACUACGUGCCAGCAGCCGCGGUAAUACGUAGGUGGCAAGCGUUGUCCGGAUUUAUUGGGCGUAAAGCGAGCGCAGGCGGAAUGAUAAGUCUGAUGUGAAAGCCCACGGCUCAACCGUGGAACUGCAUCGGAAACUGUCAUUCUUGAGUGCAGAAGAGGAGAGUGGAACUCCAUGUGUAGCGGUGGAAUGCGUAGAUAUAUGGAGGAACACCAGUGGCGAAGGCGGCUCUCUGGUCUGCAACUGACGCUGAGGCUCGAAAGCAUGGGUAGCGAACAGGAUUAGAUACCCUGGUAGUCCAUGCCGUAAACGAUGAGCGCUAGGUGUUGGGGACUUUCCGGUCCUCAGUGCCGCAGCAAACGCAUUAAGCGCCUGCCGC
rnacentral:rRNA from 1 species